CUUCGACUGCCUCAUCGGAAACCCUAACGCUUGGUUUGCACAUUCCCCGGGCGAUUUCUCCGCUUGUCCGGACCGCUCGUUCUUCAUUUCACAAAUCACGUCCCCCCCGGUCCAGCCGAAGAGAUUCGAACGCGGCCUCGAUCCAGGGCGCACGCUCUGACCUUGUUCGUUCCAUGAUUUGUGAAGGAAGAACGAACGAUCUGAACAACCGAAGUAGUCCCCCGACGAAAUGUGCUCGACAAGAAGUUGCCUGCUGACGGGUGACGAUGCUGCUGAGACAGGUUGAUGCAUCGGGUAGUAUUCUGCGGGUGUGACGUGUGUGUACGAAAGGGAAGAUCUGGAUCGCUGUGAUAAGGGUAAGGCUGAGACUGAAGAUGAGACAAGGAGUACGUCUGAUGUUUGCCACUGUCAGAACGCUCUCUCUUCAGUGAAGCACCCCCCCUUUCAAAGCGUGUGCAGGCUGUUCUAUACCUCCGUAGAGGAAUUAUUCGCAUGUUGAAUUCUGCGUGCUUCGUAGGCUUCAUCAAAUUCCCUACGGAAGCGGUUUAUCAGCAGCGACGGCGAUGAACUCGAUAGAGGCUGCAGAUGCAGAAUUUCGGAGGAUGUCGGUUUUUACAGGUACACAUGCCAGGUUGUCAAAGUAGAUAGAUUCUCCUUAGGUUAUGUUUAUUGCACUCUGCAGGUUUAUCAGUGUCCUGUACUAUGACCUGCUCGAUGGGACCAUUGGCAA